rnacentral:rRNA from 1 species
CACUCUAGAGAGACUGCCAGGGAUAACCUGGAGGAAGGUGGGGAUGACGUCAAAUCAUCAUGCCCCUUAUGCUUAGGGCUACACACGUGCUACAAUGGGUAGUACAGAGGGUUGCCAAGCCGUAAGGUGGAGCUAAUCCCUUAAAGCUACUCUCAGUUCGGAUUGUAGGCUGAAACUCGCCUACAUGAAGCUGGAGUUACUAGUAAGCGCAGAUCAGAAUGCUGCGGUGAAUGCGUUCCCGGGUCUUGUACACACCGCCCGUCACACCACGGGAGUUGGAGACGCCCGAAGCCGAUUAUCUAACCUUUUGGAAGAAGUCGUCGAAGGUGGAAUC